rnacentral:rRNA from 1 species
UACAGAGGUCCCAAGCGUUGUUCGGAUUCACUGGGCGUAAAGGGUGCGUAGGCGGUCGGGUAAGUCUGAUGUGAAAUCUCACAGCUUAACUGUGAAACUGCAUUGGAUACUAUCCGGCUAGAGGAAUGGAGGGGAGACUGGAAUACUUGGUGUAGCAGUGAAAUGCGUAGAUAUCAAGUGGAACACCAGUGGCGAAGGCGGCGACCUGGGCCAAUAUUGACGCUGAGGUGCGAAAGCGUGGGGAGCAAACAGG